AACGCACAUUGCGCCCCCUGGUAUUCCGGGGGGCAUGCCUGUCCGAGCGUCAUUGCUGCCCUCAAGCCCGGCUUGUGUGUUGGGUCCUAGUCCUUAGGGACAGGCCCGAAAGGCAAUGGCAGUACCGCGUCCGGUCCUCGAGCGUAUGGGGCUUUGUCACCCGCUCUGUAGGCCCGGCCGGCGCUCCGCCGACCAACCAAAAAACUAUUUUUCAGGUUGACCUCGGAUCAGGUAGGGAUACCCGCUGAACUUAA
rnacentral:misc_RNA from 2 species